UCGUGUCUAGCCUGUUUUCUACGGUGCUUUCGUGCUCCCCGCUUUCCAUCACCCUCCCCGGUGCGGGGCCUCUCAGGGCUUCCCGGCCUCCCCGCCCAGGCGCCGGCUGGGCGCUGGCAGGGAGUGGCUGCGGGCGCACCGCCCGGCCGGCAGGGGGCGCUGCCUUAGCAGGAAUGGUGGCGGCGGGCCCGCGGCCUCCGGGCGGCUGCGCCGUGUCCUCCGGUGCCUCCGGGUUCCUCCGGGGGUCCUUCGCGGUGCGCCCGGGGCGUUUGGCCUCCGUUCCCAAAGCGGUGCCCUUAACGGCUGCUUCCGGCUGGGCCUCCAGCACCGGGGUGGGGAGGCUGCGUAGUUCAGAAUCACAGAAUGACCUGGGUUGGAAGGGACCUCAAGGAUCAUGUAGUUCCAACCCCCCUGCCUGGCAGGGCCACCAAACAUACACAUUUACUAGAUCAGGUUGCCCAGGGCCCCGUCCAACCUGGUCUUGAACACCUCCAAGGACGGGGCAUCCACAACCUCCCUGGGGAUGAGGAGCAAUGCUGGCGUGGGUCAGGAGGUGCUGCCCAGUUUGGGCCCAGCAGCAGCAGUUAAUGGGAACAGCUGGGGUGCCCGUGUUAGACAUAGCGAGGCCAGGGGCAGCGUGUUGCACGGGGAUCCCUAAAGUGAGGGUAUUUUUGGACAUUCACUUCAGGACCUGGCGGUGCUUCCACUCCGGGCACGGGAGAGCCUGGCAGUUGGCGUUCCUUGAUAACUGUGCUCCCAUCUCUAUAAACAAAGCAAGGGUUUCUAGGGAGAGGUAAUGUCUGUUAUUAGAUCAGACCAGCUGACGGAAAGGUCAUGUUUUGUGGCAUAUUUUCAACCCUUUGUAUCCCAGACUGUGUUUGUUGGAGCUAGAUCAGCUGUGAAUGCUAGUACUUUUCACACAGAACGUGGCAAGAGUAAGCUGAACACAAUGCUCCAGAUGUGGCUUUAUACGUGCUGAACAGAGUGCAGUAAUCAUGUCCCUUGACCUGCUGGCUAUCGUCUUGCUAAUGCAGUCCAAGAUGUGGUUAGUAUUCAUUGCUGCAAGGACACACUGCUGACUUUGUUCAUUUUGUUGUCCUCUGGGCUCUAUCCUGUAGAACUGUUAGUCUCUGCCUGCACUAAUAUUCGUAUUUUUACAGUUUCAAGACAGAUUUGUCUGUUCUCCUCCAGUUUGUUGAAGUCCCAGAACAGGAGCUCUUCUCUGCAGUAUUCUGACAGCCUCCCCUUGAUUUGAUUUUACUCCGUACUUACUAAAGAUCUUAUCAUUCAGGUCAUGAAUGAAAACACUAAGUCUUACCAUCCCCAGUCUUCUUCCAGGGAUUGCCACUGGGAAUCACCUGCUAAUUGGACUUUUGUUGACUGCUCUUUGAGUCAGUGAGCUGGUCAGUUUUUAACUAACCUAGUAGUUUACCUACCAAACCUGUAUCUCCCAGUUUGCCUUCAAGAACUCUUUCACAAAUCUUUCUGAAGACAAGAGGAACAAUGCCAUCUACUCCAUCUCUCUCAGUCAGCAUGUAAUUUAUUUGUAAAAGGCAAUCAGUGUGAUAAAACAGUUUGCUCUUGGUAAAUUCAAGAUGACCAUUCUCAAUCAUAUACUUUGUCAUUGUGUGAAUGAGAAUGAUUUCUCUGAGUACUUGUUCCAUAAUUUUCCCACAGACUGUGGUAAGGUUGGUCAGCCUGUAGUUACCUAGAUCAUCCUUGCCAUUUUCUAUAAGAGACGCUACAUUUUUAUAAUUGUCAGGAACCUCCUCUGACCACUGUGGCCUGAAGAACGGAUAGAGAGCAGCCUUGAGUGACAUUUGCUGGCAGCCUAAAUACUCUUGGAUGUAUGCUGUGCAGUCCCAUGGUCUUGUAUUGCAUUUACAGCUUAUUUAGCCAUUAGCUUUAACCUUGCUACUUGUCAUGGAGGUCUGGGAGGCCUGUGAGCAGAUCUUGCCAGUAGAAAUAGCCUUUCAGUAUACAGUACUGUGGUAAAAUGUGGUAAAGAUGGACAACUCUAUUGGAAUCUGUUCAGAAAUAAACCUCUGUGUUCAGAUGUCUGAUGAGGACUCUAAGGAAAUGAAUGUCAACCUUUCAUCAGCAGAGAAUACACAAGAAAUAUAACCCAUUUGUUGCAACAUUAUUUAGAACAAUACUGGGGGACAGUCAAAAGAGUGCUGAAAAACUGGUAGGACUUGCAAGCAGAACACAAAAGCUAGAAACCAAUUGUUAAAAUGUGAGGCUUUACUUAUUUUGUUUUUUGUUUAUUUGGGAAAAAGUUAAGAGAGAACCUUGUACCAUCAGUCUAGAAACAUCUUUAUUUAUUUUUUAUUUUUCUCUUGUGUGUGAUAGCUCUUUAAGUUUCACAUAGGAAGAGCUUCCUAGCUUAGGAACUGGAAUAAACCAACUGUAGAAGCAAAGUGGAGGAGGGAUUAACAGAAGGUAAAUGUAGUCCUCUAUAAAUUAAGUUGAGAGGAUAUGUUCACGUCUGAAAAGAAUUUAUGGAUUCCAUGGCAUUGUGUCAAGGGAAGUCUGGCUGGAGAGUCUCCCCAGCUUUUAUACUUAUGACUGAAGGAGCAUGGCUCUCCAUAGAACUGAGUUCUCAGGACCUCGUCUUUCACGUUUACAAAUGUGGCACAUUGUGUUCAGUACAGAGACAGCACAAACUCAUCAGCUGUUUUCCUCUUCACAAAGUGUAUGGAAGAACUAAGGCAAGAUCUAGGAAGGGUAAUGAGGAUGAUUAAGGAUAUGAAAAUAUUCUGUUUUGAAAUAUCAGGGCAUUUUUGUUGUUGUUGUUGUUGUUUGUUUUGUUCUGUUUUUUAACCUUAGAGAGAAGGUUAAAAAGGGGUAUGCAGUAGAAUAAUUGUCUGGGUACAGUAGAUUAGAUGGCUGUGUUCUCUGUCAUCUAACAUAAGCACAGGAACAUCAAGGAAAAUUAAAAAGUAACAUUCAAAACUGAUAAAAUACAAGCUAUAAUUACCUUUACUUAUAAAACUUGUAAUUAGAGUGUGGAAUUCACUGCCAAAUCACAAAGGCCAAGAAUGCAACAAGAUUAAAAAGAGUAUUGUAUUUUUAGGGAUAACAAGAAUAUUCAAGAGUUACGGUUGGCUGAUAAAAAUAAGAGAAGGGCUAUUAGGUCUCAGAUUUCAAGGUGGAAACCAAAUUUCUGUUGACUAGAAUGGCCUACUGAUAUUGGCUAAUCAGUGAAUAAGCAACGUGAGUAAGGAGGAUAUAGUCCACCUCUGCCUGCCCGUGAACCUUUGUAUAGGGAGAUCCAAUGUGCUGAACUAUGUAGUGAGGCAGUUCUUAACAAAGUCCUAUGUUUGGUUGAUUUAAUUCUGCUUGUUAUUUAUGAAACAUAAAUAUAUGUAAAAAAACCUUAACUGAGCUUUGAACAUCUUAGCUAUAACGUUUAUAUAAUUCCAUUGGAUCCGUGACCAGAUUCAAAAGUCAUAUUGCUGUGUUUGCAAUAAAAUAAUUCAAGACUUUUUUUUUUUUUUUUUUUUAAUCAUAAAUUAAUUCCAAGUCAGUGGCAGCCACUAAUGUGGCUUUUUAUACUUCAGAACAGGCAGAACAUUUUAAGUGGUUAUAUGAUGAUUAUAUAUGUCAGUGACAACUUGCAAAAAGAGAGUUGUCUUCAGAGGGGAUCAAUGGUCAGAGAUGUCUUCACAUGAUCUCUUGAGUUUUUGACACUAAAUUUAAAUAAAAAUUAUAAUACCACCACUUAUGGUCUUUUGCUACUAACUUCUACUCUUUAUGUACUUCCAAUUUUAAAAGAAAGAGGAGUCAUUUAAUUAGAUUAGAGUCAUUAGAUUUAGUGUGGAUAGAGAUGUGGUGAGCGGGAGAUUUCAUUCUGUAAUUGUUAAAAUGAUAGUGGUUGCUAUGUGGACAUGAUGAGUUUCACAAUCUUAAGUGUAAUAGGUGGAUACGCUUUGGAACAGCUGUUUAAAUUUUCUAGCACUUUUAUGGCUAUAUAGGCUCCUGGUUGAGGGGUGCUAAAAUGAAUGGGGUAGAAGAAUUCAUACUUUUCCUGCUGCUUUUACAUCGCUGUCACUUCUGUUGUGCUUUCAUCUCCACUUUCUCCACUUCAUCUUCUCAACCAUUCUGUAAUGAGAGAACUAUUUUAAAGUUAUUCUAAUAACAGAAAUAAAAUCUGUACUUUGAACCACG